GACAGAGGUGCCAAGCGUUAGGCGGAAUCACUGGGCUUAAAGCGUGUGUAGGCGGAUCGUUAAGUGCCUUGUGAAAUCCCACGGCUUAACCGUGGAACUGCUCGGCAUACUGGCGGUCUUGAGCAACCUAGGGGCGAGCGGAACAAAUGGUGGAGCGGUGAAAUGCGUAGAUAUCAUUUGGAACGCCAAUGGUGAAAACAGCUCGCCGGGGGUUUGCUGACGCUGAGACACGAAAGCCAGGGGAGCGAACGGG
rnacentral:rRNA from 1 species